GACGUAGGGCGCGAGCGUUGUCCGGAUUUAUUGGGCGUAAAGAGCUCGUAGGCGGCUUGUCGCGUCGACUGUGAAAUCCCGCGGCUCAACUGCGGGUCUGCAGUCGAUACGGGCAGGCUAGAGUUCGGUAGGGGAGACUGGAAUUCCUGGUGUAGCGGUGAAAUGCGCAGAUAUCAGGAGGAACACCGAUGGCGAAGGCAGGUCUCUGGGCCGAUACUGACGCUGAGGAGCGAAAGCGUGGGGGAGCGAACAGG
rnacentral:rRNA from 1 species